AGCAGCCGCGGUAAUUCCAGCUCCAAUAGCGUAUAUUAAAGUUGUUGCAGUUAAAAAGCUCGUAGUUGAAUUUCGGGGCCAGUAGGUUGGUCGUGCCACUGGUAUGCACUGGCCUUACUGGUCCCUCCUUCUUGUAGAACCGUGAUGCCAUUAAUUUGGUGUUGCGGGGAAACAGGACUGUUACUUUGAAAAAAUUAGAGUGCUUAAAGCAGGCUCGCGCUUGAAUACAUUAGCAUGGAAUAACGGAAUAGGACGAUCGAACCUAUUUUGUUGGUUUCUAGGAUCGACGUAAUGAUUAAUAGGGAUAGUUGGGGGCAUUAGUAUUCAAUUGUCAGAGGUGAAAUUCUUGGAUUUAUUGAAGACUAACUACUGCGAAAGCAUUUGCCAAGGAUGUUUUCAUUAAUCAAGAACGAAAGUUAGGGGAUCGAAGACGAUCAGAUACCGUCGUAGUCUUAACCAUAAACUAUGCCGACUAG
rnacentral:rRNA from 1 species